GAAUAUUGGACAAUGGGGGGAACCCUGAUCCAGCCAUGCCGCGUGUGUGAAGAAGGCCUUUUGGUUGUAAAGCACUUUAAGCGAGGAGGAGGCUACUUAGAUUAAUACUCUAGGAUAGUGGACGUUACUCGCAGAAUAAGCACCGGCUAACUCUGUGCCAGCAGCCGCGGUAAUACAGAGGGUGCAACGGUUAAUCGGGAUUACUGGGCGGAAAGCGCGCGUAGGGUGCCAAUUAAGUCAAAUGUGAAAUCCCCGAGCUUAACUUGGGAAUUGCAUUCGAUACUGGUUUGCUAGAGUAAGGGAGAGGAUGGUAGAAUUCCAGGUGUAGCGGUGAAAUGCGUAGAGAUCUGGAGGAAUACCGAUGGCGAAGGCAGCCAUCUGGCCUAAUACUGACACUGAGGUGCGAAAGCAUGGGGAGCAAACA
rnacentral:rRNA from 1 species